CGCGAGAGUAAGCUAAUCUCUUAAAGCCGUUCUCAGUUCGGACUGUAGGCUGCAACUCGCCUACACGAAGUCGGAAUCGCUAGUAAUCGCGGAUCAGCAUGCCGCGGUGAAUACGUUCCCGGGCCUUGUACACACCGCCCGUCACACCAUGGGAGUUGGAGAUACCCGAAGCCUAUGAGCUAACUUUUAGAGGCAGUAGUCGAAGGUAGAAUCAAUGAUUGGGGUGAAGUCGUAACAAGGUAGC
rnacentral:rRNA from 1 species